rnacentral:lncRNA from 1 species
CUACUAUCCUAUUAAUAGGAUUGAGGACAUUGUUGAUAGAUUUGAAUGAUCGGAAUUUUAAAUUGAUAAUCGGCACUGUUGAAAUUGAUCUACACAAUUAGAAAUAUUUAGAAACCAAAUUUUAUAAUAUUUAAAAAAUAUUAUUAAGUUUAUCUUAAGAGUUGAAAAAUGAACGGUCAUAAAUGAAUAACCUUCUUAAAAUAGAUAUUAGACUUUCUCAAUUCAUAAUCAGAGUUAUCAAACAUUACCUAAAUAGUAUAAAGAAUUUUCUGCCAAAAUUUCAAGCAAUUUGGAUUACUCUACACUGUUAAACAAGUAAACGGCUCAUACAGGCCAUCAAAAAUUGUCGAUUUUACGACACUUUGAUCACCAUGUAAAUAAUUUUUAAAAUUUAUAAAAUUUAGUUUCUAAAUAUUUCAAAUACUCUAAAUCAACUUCAACGGUUCCGAUCAUCGAUUCGGAAUCUCUAUGAUCAAGAAUAAUUUGAUAGGACAAGUGCAACUAUCCUAUUAGUAGGAUAGUAGCCCUAGCCAUAUAUAUAUAUAUAUAUAUAUAUAUAUAUAGAGUCCGGCUACUAUACUAUCGGUAGCACGAGGCCUCCCGUGCUACCAAGUUGUUUUCGAUGAUGCGGCUUCCAAAUCGACGAUCGGCUUCGUUAGACUUGAUCUACACUAUUAAAAGUAUUUGGAAACUAAAUUUCAUAAUUUUUCGAUAUCAUUUACCUAUCAAACAAAUAGUCUAAAAUUGAACGGCUGAAAAUAAAAAUCUCAUAAAAAAUGAUGAUAAAAAAUUUAAAUUCAAGAUCAGAUAUACUGAUCUUACUCUAAAUAGUGAAAAGAAUUUUCUAUAAAAUUUUCAUCAGAUUUCGAUUGUUUUACACCGUUAAACUCACAAACACGCCACAUCGGCCAUUAAAAUGGUCAAUUUUGAGAUCUUUUGAUCACUAGUCAAAUGAUGUCGAAAAAUUAUGAAAUUUAGUUUCCAAAUACGUUUAAUAGUGUAGAUCAAGUCUAACGGAGCUGAUCGUCGAUUUGGAAGCCGCAUCAUCGAAAACAACUUGGUAGCACGGGAGGUCCCGUGCUACCGAUAGUAUAGCAGCUGGACUCUAUAUAUAUAUAUAUAUAUAUAUAGAGAGAGAGAGAGAGAGAGAGAGAGAGAGAGAGAGAGAGAGAGAGAGAGAGAGAGAGUUCGGCGACUAUGCUAUUAAUAGCAUAAAGCACUUUGUUUCUACCAACUUUUCCACCGUUAGAUCUAUCCUUUUAAUUAUUUUCACCUGUUAGAUCAUAAUAUUCAACCAACCAUCCACUCAACCUUAGAAGGCUCAUAUCAUUCUAACCGCACAUCUUUUAAUCCAAUGGUCAAAAACUUGAUAGCAACAAUGACUUGGUGCUAUUAAUAGUAUAUUAGCCUAGUUUUAUAUAUAGAGUAUGGCUACUAUGCUAUUAAUAGCACGAAUAAUUUGGUGUUAUCAAAUUUUUUGCCGUUAGAUCUACCCUUU